UGGCGGACGGGUGAGUAAUGUCUGGGAAACUGCCUGAUGGAGGGGGAUAACUACUGGAAACGGUAGCUAAUACCGCAUAACGUCGCAAGACCAAAGAGGGGGACCCUCGGGCCUCUUGCCAUCGGAUGUGCCCAGAUGGGAUUAGCUUGUUGGUGGGGGUAACGGCUCACCAAGGCGACGAUCCCUAGCUGGUCUGAGAGGAUGACCAGCCACACUGGAACUGAGACACGGUCCAGACUCCUACGGGAGGCAGCAUG
rnacentral:rRNA from 1 species